GUCUACAGCCAUGCCACCCUGAACAUGCCCGAUCUCGUCUAAUCUCGGAAGCUAAUCUCGGAAGUUGGGCCUGGUUAGUACUUGGAUGGGAGACAACCUAGGAAUACCGGGUGCUGUAGGCA
rnacentral:rRNA from 1 species